rnacentral:lncRNA from 1 species
CCAAAACAACCCAAAGCGAAAUAAACUUCAUCCAACCAAAACAACUCAAAGCCAAAUAAAAUUCAUCCAACCAAAACAACCCAAAGCCAAAUAAACUUCAUCCAACCAAAACAACCCAAACCCAAAUAAACUUCAUCCAACUAAAACAACACAAUAUUUUCAACAUAUACAUUAAACUAUUUCAAAAUAAACUUCAUCCAACUUCAAAAUAAACUAAAAUACGAUCAAAUUAACCAAUUCCAAAAAUAUAGAAGUCUAAAAUGUCAAAUAGAUACAACUACUUCUCAUCACCCUCACUCUCCUUAUCAGACUUAGCAUUCUCAUCACCCUCACUUUCUUUAUCAGACUUAUCAUUCUCAUCACCCUCCUGAUCAGAUCCAUCACUGCUAGCCGGACAUGGAGGAAGAAUAUUUCCUGAUUCAAAAAGAAAAGGUAGUUGGGCCUGAAGCGCUGCAUACCUCUUAUUCUCUACCUCCUUUGCUGCCACAAUCUCCUCCUCUCUCUUCCUCUCUUUUUCUUCUCUCUUCUUCUCUCUUUCGGCUACAACAACAAGCUCGGCAUUGAGAUAAGCUAUCUUACUCUCCAUUGCAGAUAUUGUCUCUCUAUCCCCACCAUCAAAGCUUGAGGAUGAUGAACCAAAAUACCAGUCUCUGUUGUAUGAUAUCUCACAUUUUCACAAUUAACACACGGACACCUAAUCAAUCUUGAAUGAUGAUGCACCACAAUACCAAAACUUCUUCUUCUGAUACGCCUUUUCUGGAUAGCCGUAGACUGAACCUCUAAUGGGUUCACCAGCACUCUGUUUCAAAAGAUUCUCAUUUUCUUAUUGUGUAAAUGGUCUGUCCUGACUCUCAAGAGGUAGAGUACUAUGACAUUCCUGAGAUAUUCGUAUAUACCUAUCCUGUAAUUUAAACAAAGAACUCUACGAAUAAGAAUGUAAUAUAUACAAGGAAAAGAAAAAAGAUUAGUUUGAAUGGAGUUCUUACAUAUGUCUCUUGAGCACGUGGCUCAAUCCAUCUUUCUUCUUUUGUGGGGUUCUUACUCUUCUUGACGUGAGUAACCUUGAACAUCUCUAGUACAGCUACCGGCCUACGCAACUUUUUUUCCUGCAAAUAACAUAUAUAGAAUUUGAUCUCAUUAAUCUCCAAAAAGUACUUAUCAAAAAAGAAAAAAUUAUUUUACUAAAUUAAGAAAGUAUACCAUUCUUUCCUUCCUAGUAACCUGGCUAAUAGCUCCACCAGUGUGCAAAGAUCCUCCCUUUUCUGAUGCGCGAGCCAUCAUCCCAAUCUCACUCCUUUUUUAAAAAAUUUCAUCAGUACUCCAAUGUUUCAGUAACAGAGCCCAUCGAUCCGCUAACAUAAACUUAGGAAUUCUGUUUUCUCUUCGACAAUCACAAAAUGUGCUAGAAAGCAACUUUGAAGCUUUAAGCUUGAAGUACACUUGAACGUCAUCCUCGUGUUCGGAAGCCCAUACAUAAUAUUUCUGUAAUAAAAAAUAACUAAAUAUUUAUUGUUCAAAUGACUAGAGAAUUUAAAUGUAUAUGAUGUGAAUUUAAUUUAUAUAUAUUCUUACGUUAACUAGUUUAGUUUUGACUUAAUUCCAACAACUAAAUUCACUAACUAACCCACAUUAUUUAUUUUAACUUAUUUCAACAACUUAACUAACUUUUUAACUUUAACUAGUUUAGUUUUGACUUAAUUCCAACAACUAAAUCCACUAACUAAACGACAUUAUUAAUUUAACUUAUUUAAACAACUUAAUAACUUUUAACUUUAACUACAUUAGUUUUGACUUAAUUCCAACAACAAAAUUCACCAAUUAAACGACAUUAUUUAUUUUACCUUAUUUAAACAACUUAACAACUUUUUAACUUUAACUACAUUAGUUUUGACUUAAUUCCAACAACAAAAUUCACCAAUUAAACGACAUUAUUUAUUUUACCUUAGUUAAACAACUUAACAACUUUUUAACGUUAACUAGUUUAGUUUUGACUUAAUUCCAACAACAAAAUUCACCAAUUAAACGACAUUAUUUAUAUUACCUUAUUUAAACAACUUAAUAACUUUUAACUUUAACUAGUUUAAUUUUGACUUAAUUCCAACAACAAAAUUCACCAAUUAAACGACAUUAUUUAUUUUACCUUAGUUAAACAACUUAACAACUUUUAACUUUAACUAGUUUAGUUUUGUACUUAAUUCCAACAACUAAAUCCACUAACUAAACGACAUUAUUAAUUUUGAAUUAUUUAAACAACUUAAUAACUUCUUAACUUUAACUACAUUAGUUUUGACUUAAUUCCAACAACUAAAUUCACUAACUAAACCACAUUAUUUAUUUUAACUUAUUUAAACAACUGAACAACUUUUAACUUUAACUACAAUAGUUUUGACUUAAUUCCAACAACUAAAUUCACUAACUAAACCACAUUAUUUGUUGUUAACUUAUUUAAACAACAUAACAACUUUUGAACUUUACCUAGUUUAGUUUUGACUUAAUUCCAACAACUAAAUUCACUAACUAAACCACAUUAUUUGUUGUUAACUUAUUUAAACAACAUAACAACUUUUGAACUUUAACUACAUUAGUUUUGACUUAAUUCCAACAACUAAAUUCACUAACUAAACCGACAUUAUUCAUUUUAACUUAUUUAAACAACAUUAACUAAAUUCUCUAACUAACCAACAUUAUUUAUUUUAACUUAUUUAAACAACUGAACAACUUUUAACUUUAACUACAAUAGUUUUGACUUAAUUCCAACAACUAAAUUCACUAACUAAACCGACAUUAUUCAUUUUAACUUAUUUAAACAACAUAACAACUUUUGAACUUUAACUACAUUAGUUUUGACUUAAUUCCAACAACUAAAUUCACUAACUAAACCGACAUUAUUCAUUUUAACUUAUUUAAACAACAUAACAACUUUUGAACUUUAACUACAUUAGUUUUGACUUAAUUCCAACAACUAAAUUCACUAACUAAACCACAUUAUUUGUUUUAACUUAUUUAAACAACUUAACAACUUUUUAACUUUAACUAGUUUAGUUUUGACUUAAUUCCAACAACUAAAUUCACUAACUAACCCACAUUAUUUAUUUUAACUUAUUUAAACAACUUAACAACUUUUUAAUGUUAACUAGUUUAGUGUUGACUUAUUCCAACAACUAUAUCCACUAACUAAACAACAUUAUUUAUUUUAACCUAUUUAAAUUUCUUAACAACUUUUUAGCAUUAACAAGUUUAGUUUUGACUUAAUUACAACAACUAAAUCCACUAACUAAACGACAAUAUUUAUUUUGACUUAUUUAAACAACUUAACAAUUUUUUAACCUUAACUAGUUUAGUUUUGACUUAAUUCCAACAACUAAAUCCACUAACUAAACGACAAUAUUUAUUUGAACUUAUUUAAACAACUUAACAAUUUUUUAACUUAAACUAGUAUAGUUUUGACUUAAUUCCAAACACUAAAUUCACUAACUAAACGACAAUAUUAAUUAUAACUUAUUUAAACAAUUUAACAACUUUUUAACGUUAACUAGUUUAGUUUUGACUUAAUUCCAACAACUAAAUUCACUAACUAAAUAACAUUAUUUAUUUUAAAUUAUUUAAACAACUUAACAAAUUUUUAACUUUAACUAGUUUAGUUUUCACUUAAUUCCAACAACUAAAUCCACUAACUAAACGACAUUAUCUAUUUUAACUUAUUUAAACAACUUAAUAACUUUUUUAACUUUAACAAGUUUAGUUUUGACUUAAUUCCAACAACUAAAUACACUAACUAACCCACAUUACUUAUUUUAACCUAUUUAAACAAUUUUUUAACGUUAACUAGUUUAGUUUUGACUUAAUUAUAAUAACUAUAUUCACUAACUAAACCACAUUAUUUAUUUUAACUUAUUUAAACAACUUAACAACUUUUUAACUUUAACUAGUUUAGUUUUGACUUAUUUCCAACAACAAAAUUCACUAACUAAAGGACAAUAUUUAUUUUAACUUAUUUAAACAACUUAACAAAUUUUUAACGUUAACUAGUUUAGUUUUGACUUAAUUCCAAUAACUAAAUUCUCAAACUAACCCACAUUAUUUAUUUUGAAAUUAUUUAAAAAAACUUAACAACUUUUUAACUUUAACUAGUUUAGUUUUGGACUUAAUUCCAACAACUAAAUCCACUAACUAAACGACAUUAUUUAUUUGGACUUAUUUAAACAACUUAACAACUUUUUAACUUUAACUAGUUUAGUUUUGACUUAAUUCCAAUAAUUAAAUUCACUAACUAAAAAACAAUAUUAAUUUUAACUUGUUUAAACAACUUAACAACUUUUUAACGUUAACUAGUUUAGUUUUGACUUAAUUCCAAUAAUUAAAUUCACUAACUAAAAAACAAUAUUAAUUUUAACUUGUUUAAACAACUUAACAACUUUUUAACGUUAACUAGUUUAGUUUUGACUUAAUUCCAACAACUAAAUACACUAACUAAAUGAAAUUAUUAAUUUUAACUUAUUUAAACAACUUAAUAAAUUUUUAACUUUAACUACAUUAGUUUUAACUUAAUUCCAAC